AUGGUCCAGAUACUCUCCCUCAUCCAGAGCAAAAAUAGGACUCUGAGUAGCAUGCCCUACAUACCAGCAGACAUCACAAACCUAAAGGCAAAGUACCGUAGAGAAAGCAAGUUGGCUGACAUAGAAGCCACGAUAGCCUACUUCGAUGAGAAAGCGAAAGAAGAUCCAGAUUUCUUCUAUAGGAUAAGAUUGGACGAUGAGGACCGUGUCAGGAACAUGUAUUGGGUGGAUGGUGCUGCAAGAAGAGCCUACAAACAUUUCCGAGACUGCAUUUCAUUCGACGCGACAUAUCUGACUAAUAUGUACAAGAUGCCAUGUGCUCCAUUCAUAGGAAUAAAUAACCACAAUCAGUCAUUGCAGUUCGGAUGCAGGCUCGAACCCGCUCUGUUCCAUCACAAAAGGGCGUCCAAAAGAGAUAAGAUACAAAUCGGGAUUGGAGAUUCAAGCAAAACACAAGAAACCAAAGAAAGGGACGGGCAAUCCUUAAGCAACAUUGGAGCACUGUGA
rnacentral:rRNA from 1 species